rnacentral:lncRNA from 1 species
UACUUUUACUGUCUUGUUAUAACAGGUGAAAAGAAACUUGGUACUGUUAUCACUCCAGAUACAUGGAAAGAUGGUGCAAGGAAUACCACAGAAAGUGGUGGAAGAAAGCUGAAUGAAAAUAAAGCUUUGACCUCAAAGAAAGCAAGAUUUGAUCCAUAUGGAAAGAAUAAGUUCUCCACUUGCAGAAUUUGUAAAAGUUCUGUGCACCAGCCAGGUUCUCAUUACUGCCAGGGCUGUGCCUACAAAAAGGGCAUCUGCUCUAUGUGUGGAAAAAAGGUUUUGGAUACCAAAAACUACAAGCAAACGUCUGUCUAGAUGUAUUGAAGUUUCUGGCUUUCCAGUUGAAACCAGGGACAAAGCUUUCCUGCUUCUCCCACCUCAAGGUUGACCUUCCGCCCCCAAGCCCACCUCUGGACCUUCUCCGACCACGUGACCCUCUUCAGCCCCCGUGACUCGCCGCCGCCAACCCCUCCCCUCCGGCCGCAGCCCGCCUUAUCCCGCCUCUCAAGCCCACGUGACCCCCUCUCUCCCACCUGACUGGCUCCUCCCUUUCCCCCGGGCCGGACCCGGCCGCCGU